ensembl:lncRNA
CGGUGAUUGAGAUGUGUGGGAGGAUGAGGGCCAAGAUGCAGGGAGAGGCGGAAGAGGAGAGACUGAGAGAGGCAGAGGCCGUGGAGGCUAAAAUACAGGAGGAGAGAGAGAGGAGUGUUAGGGAGACGGAGCUACGAGUCCAACGGCAGUGUGAACAAGAGGCUCAGGAGGACCGAGAGGCUCUCCAGGAAAGACAUGCAGUGGAACUUUGCCGAAUGCAGACCAGAGAUUACAGUGUAGCUACAGACAGUUUGUGGAUCUGACCGAGUCCUCCCUCCACUCUGACUACCUGUUGAAGCUCCGUCACCUUGGUCGAGAGCCUGGAUACACUGAUGUGGGCGUUCAAACGGAUGAUGUCAUCAACGAGGGACACCUUCCCGGAUCAACUCAGUGAUGCAUCUUCCUGCUGCUCGAGGCAGGGGUACUGAGACACGUGCCUUUUGGAUCAGCUAAUUGUUUGCAAUCUUGAUCUGAACUAUUAGCUGUUAAAGUGUAACUCUGAUCUUAGAUCAGCACACAGGAACAUUAUCUGUCACCUUGGGCGUUCCAGUGGAGCUCCCAAAUGCCUCUGCUCUGUCAUCAGGAAUGUGUCCAUAUAGGGAAUGAAAAUU